rnacentral:pre_miRNA from 12 species
UGCGCAUAUUGAAAACUACCUGCUUGAGAAACAUACUACUUUAUAUGCCCAUAUGAACGUGCUAAGCUAUGGAAUGUAAAGAAGUAUGUAUUUCCGGUAGGGCAUCUCUCUCAUGGGAGCA